CACGGGGGGAGCAAGCGUUGUUCGGAAUCACUGGGCGUAAAGGGCGUGUAGGCGGUCAGGUAAGUGAGACGUGAAAUGCCCCGGCUUACCCGGGGACCUGCGUCUCAUACUGCUUGGCUUGAGUACGGGAGAGGGUGUGGGAAUUCCUGGUGUAGCGGUGAAAUGCGUAGAUAUCUGGAGGAACACCGGUGGCGAAGGCGACAUCCUGGACCGGUAUUGACGCUGAGGCGCGAAAGCCAGGGGAGCAAACGGG
rnacentral:rRNA from 1 species